GUGCUCACUUCGGCAGCACAUAUACUAAAAUUGUAACGAUACAGAGAAGAUUAGCAUGGCCCCUGUGUGAGGAUGACAUGCAAAUUCGUGAACCAUUCCAUAUUUUU
ensembl:snRNA U6 U6 spliceosomal RNA